rnacentral:rRNA from 1 species
CUGCUAAUACCGAAUACGAUCUUUUCGUCGCAUGACGGAAAAAGAAGAAAAAGGAAUGGCCUCUAUACAAAGCUAUCGCCGAAGAGGGGUUUGCGUCUGAUUAGCUGGUUGGAGGGUAACGGCCCAACAAGGCGAUGAUCAGUAGCCGGUCUGAGAGGAUGAACGGCCACAUUGGGACUGAGACACGGCCCAGACUCCUACGGGAGGCAGCAGUGGGGAAUCUUCCGCAAUGGACGAAAGUCUGACGGAGCAACGCCGCGUGAGUGAAGAAGGUCUUCGGAUUGUAAAACUCUGUUAUACGGGACGAAAAAGACGGAUGCCAACAGUAUCCGUCCGUGACGGUACCGUAAGAGAAAGCCACGGCUAACUACGUGCCAGCAGCCGCGGUAAAU